rnacentral:misc_RNA from 1 species
AAUCCUCAAAAGAGAAUCUUCACAGAUUUUCUCUUUUGGAAUUGGGGUGUGCUGGCCUUUUGUUCAGAAAGCUCAGCUCCCCUGAAAUACAUUAGCGAUGUGACGUCCGCAUGGCACCACGCCUCUCUGGCAUUGAUAGUCCUUUCAUGCUUGAGCGUGCUGUGCAGCUGUGGAAAGUUUCGCUCGCUCAUAACUGAUGGGGGGUUGCUCCCCCCAUCCUUAUGACCA